rnacentral:rRNA from 1 species
UACGUAGGGGGCUAGCGUUGUCCGGAAUCAUUGGGCGUAAAGAGCGUGUAGGCGGUCCGGUAAGUCCGCUGUGAAAGUCGGGGGCUCAACCCUCGAAUGCCGGUGGAUACUGUCGGGCUAGAGUGCGGAAGAGGCGAGUGGAAUUCCUGGUGUAGCGGUGAAAUGCGCAGAUAUCAGGAGGAACACCAAUGGCGAAGGCAGCACUCUGGGACGUGACUGACGCUGAGACGCGAAAGCGUGGGGAGCAAACAGG